rnacentral:rRNA from 1 species
UACACUCCUGCGGGAGGCAGCAGUGGGGAAUUUUGGACAAUGGGCGAAAGCCUGAUCCAGCAAUGCCGCGUGCAGGAUGAAGGCCUUCGGGUUGUAAACUGCUUUUGUACGGAACGAAAAAGCUCCUUCUAAUACAGGGGGCCCAUGACGGUACCGUAAGAAUAAGCACCGGCUAACUACGUGCCAGCAGCCGCGGUAAUACGUAGGGUGCGAGCGUUAAUCGGAAUUACUGGGCGUAAAGCGUGCGCAGGCGGUUAUGUAAGACAGAUGUGAAAUCCCCGGGCUAAACCUGGGAACUGCAUUUGUGACUGCAUGGCUAGAGUACGGUAGAGGGGGAUGGAAUUCCGCGUGUAGCAGUGAAAUGCGUAGAUAUGCGGAGGAACACCGAUGGCGAAGGCAAUCCCCUGGACCUGUACUGACGCUCAUGCACGAAAGCGUGGGGAGCAAACAGGAUUAGAAACCCUGGUAGUCCCAUGA